rnacentral:piRNA from 1 species
UGAAUCGGUAAUACUAGAAUU